UGGGGAAUAUUGCACAAUGGGCGCAAGCCUGAUGCAGCCAUGCCGCGUGUAUGAAGAAGGCCUUCGGGUUGUAAAGUACUUUCAGCGGGGAGGAAGGGAGUAAAGUUAAUACCUUUGCUCAUUGACGUUACCCGCAGAAGAAGCACCGGCUAACUCCGUGCCAGCAGCCGCGGUAAUACGGAGGGUGCAAGCGUUAAUCGGAAUUACUGGGCGUAAAGCGCACGCAGGCGGUUUGUUAAGUCAGAUGUGAAAUCCCCGGGCUCAACCUGGGAACUGCAUCUGAUACUGGAAAGCUUGAGGCUCGUAGAGGGGGGUAGAAUUCCAGGUGUAGCGGUGAAAUGCGUAGAGAUCUGGAGGAAUACCGGUGGCGAAGGCGGCCCCCUGGACGAAGACUGACGCUCAGGUGCGAAAGCGUGGGGAGCAAACAGG
rnacentral:rRNA from 1 species